rnacentral:tRNA from 1 species
GGCCGCCUGGCGAAAUGGCAUCGCGUCUGACUACGAUAUUUGUUGUUGAAAUCAGGAGAUUGCAGGUUCGACCCCUGCGGUGGUCA